UGGGUAGUUUAACCUUUCGAGGAGGACGCUCACCACUUUGUGGUUCAUGACUGGGGUGAAGUCGUAACAAGGUAGCGCUAGGGGAACCUGGCGCUGGAUCACCUCCUUAUACGAUGAU
rnacentral:rRNA from 1 species